UACGUAGGGUGCGAGCGUUGUCCGGAAUUAUUGGGCGUAAAGGGCUCGUAGGCGGUCUGUUACGUCGGGAGUGAAAACUCGGGGCUCAACCCCGAGCCUGCUUCCGAUACGGGCAGACUAGAGGUAUGCAGGGGAGAAUGGAAUUCCUGGUGUAGCGGUGAAAUGCGCAGAUAUCAGGAGGAACACCGGUGGCGAAGGCGGUUCUCUGGGACGGUACUGACGCUGAGACGCGAAAGCGUGGGGAGCGAACAGG
rnacentral:rRNA from 1 species